rnacentral:rRNA from 1 species
UACGAAGGGGGCAAGCGUUGUUCGGAAUUACUGGGCGUAAAGGGCGCGUAGGCGGCCAUAUAAGUCGGGUGUGAAAGCCCUGGGCUCAACCCAGGAAUUGCAUUCGAUACUGUAUGGCUUGAGGCUAGGAGAGGACAGUGGAAUUCCGAGUGUAGAGGUGAAAUUCGUAGAUAUUCGGAGGAACAUCCGUGGCGAAGGCGGCUGUCUGGACUAGUACUGACGCUGAGGCGCGAAAGCGUGGGGAGCAAACAGG